UUGGGAUCGUUGGGUAUAGGAUGAUUGUUGAGAUCCUUUGCGGGGGAGGUGACGAAGGAUAGCGUUAGCGUGAAGGAGUCCCCGCGAAAGAAGUCCUUGAGGAAAAGUGGUAAUGUUAGUAUCCUUAAGGUUCGGUGUUGGUAUCCUGCAGGUUUUGGGGUCGUUGGGUACAGGAUGAUUGCUGAGAUCCUUUGCGGGGGAGGUGAUGGAGGAUAGCGUUGGCGUGAAGGAAUCCCCGCUUGACAAGUCCCCGAGGAAAAGUGAUUAUGUUAGUAUCCUGCAGGUUCCUUUGGUCUUGGGGGGGGUCGUUGGGUGCAGGAUGAUUGUUGAGAUCCUUUGCGGGGGAGGUGACGAAGGAUAGCGUUGGCGUUCACGAAAGAAGCCCCAAGGAAGAGUGCUAAUGUUAGUACCCUGGAAGUUCGGUUAGGUCUGGAAAUCGUGAGGUAUGCGAUGUUUCCGGUAACCAUCUUUUCCUCCCUUGUCUGAAGAAGCGUGGUAUGGUAGUAUCCUGGAAGCGACAUUUGGUUUUGAAGGUACGUUAGGUCUGGUCUUUGGGGUAUCCGAUGUUUCCUGUGACCAUCUUUUCCUCGUCUAGCGUUCAGUGGGUCAGCGUUGCCAUUAAGCAGACCCGCGAGACAAGCCCCUGAGGGAGAGUGGUAAUGUUAGUAUCUUGGGAAGGCAAGGUGACGGCAUGUGAGGUCGUUGGGUAAUACGAUUCUUCUACGCUUGGCACUCGUCAGGUUAGCGUCGUGAGGUCGAUGGGGGUGUUCUGUCUACGUGAAGAAGAAAGAUGAGACGAGGUUGUGGGAUCUUGAGCCGCAGGUAUCCUUAAACUUUUCAGCGUCUAAGCAUAUGUAUUUGCUUUGCACUCGUCAGGUUAGCGUCGUGAGGUCGAUGGGGGCGUUUCGUCUACGUGAAGAAGAGAGAUGAGACGAGGUUGUGGGAUCUUGAGCCGUAGAUAUCCUUAAACUUUUCAGCGUCUAAGCAUAUGUAUUUGCUUUGCACUCGUCAGGUUAGCGUCGUGAGGUCGGUGAGGUGUCCCGUCUACGUGAAGAAGAAAGAUGAGACGAGGUUGUGGGAUCUUGAGCCGUAGAUAUCCUUAAACUUUUCAGCGUCUAAGCAUAUGUAUUUGCUUUGCACUCGUCAGGUUAGGGUCGUGAGGUUGGUGAGGUGUUCCGUCUACGUGGAGAAGAAAGACGUGACGAGGUUGUGGGAUCUUGAGCCGUAGGUAUUCUUAAACUUUUCAGCGCCAAGCAUCCAUAUUUGGUAAGGCUUUCGUAAGAGCUGUGGGCAUUUCCAGGGGGGUAGUUAAUGACACUGGCGAUACUUUGACCCUUCUUCUGUACCAUGGACGUAAAAACACGCACUAAAACCGGACUAAUCUCCUUCUCUACCUUUGGAAUGAGUUGAUUUGUUAUGCGGAAGCGAUUGAGAAUACCAAGCACAAUAUGAUGGUUACCUCCACCGCACUCAGCGUUGUGGGACUGUCAGGGGUCGUAUGUGUAGCGGAGGAGUAAGAAAGAGUAGCAGUGUCAAGGGGUUUUAGAGGUUCCUGUUCCUCUUCGCCUAUCACAUCCAGCGUUAGGGGUUUGUGAGGUUCCUGAUCCUGUUUCUCUUCUUCGCCUAUCACAUCCAGCGUUUGGGGUUUGUGAGGUUCUUGGUCCUGUUCCUGUUCUUACCACCUCGAACGUUAGGGGUUUGUGAGGUUCCUGUUCUUCAUCCUCGCCUGUCAUCUCCAGUUCGAGGCAGUGAUGUCCCGGAGCCUCUCGACGAGUGCUUUGCUUUACUUCCUCUUGGCUUCGCGUCCCCAAGGGCUGCGCGGGGCCUUGGGUGGCGGUGGAGGUGUGCUUGUGGUGGACCUCCGAACCACUUGUGUUGCCGCGUCACGCAUAGAGAUUGUCGGUGUUGCAUGCUUGAUAGUGCAGGUGGUGGUGGUGGUGGUGGUGGUGGUGAUGAUGCAAGGGGUACUGAAGGGCGAAUGAAGUUGAUGUAUGUGAUGGUGGUGGUGAUGAGUGUAUAGAUUUGGUGGUGGUGGUCGUGGUGGUGGAGAUGCAAAUGAUACUGAAGGAGGUGGAUGCAUGUGACGGAGGUGCUUGAGGUGGUGGUGGAGGUGGGGGUGAUUGGUAUUGGUGGUGGUGUGGAGGGGUGGUGUUGCAAUUGGUCGUGGCAAUCUCGAUGCAAGUGAUCCUGGAGAAGGUGGUGGUGAGGUGGUGUUGGUGGAGGUGGUGAGGUGGUGUUGGUGAGGUGGCGAGGUGGUGUUGGUGGAGGUGGCGAGGUGGUGUUUGUGGAGGUGGUGAGGUGGUGUUGUCAAGUCUUCAAGGUGGCGGUGGUGGUAUACAGUGGAGGUGGUGGCGGUGGUGUUUUGGAGAGGUAAAAAAAGUCGUUUAACAUAGUGGCAAGGGAGGUGGCGUAACUCUUGAGCAAGUGAUGGUGGUGGUGGUGGUGGUGGUGGUGGUAGUGCCUCAAGGUAUAAAUAGUUUCCGACUUUGUUAUAUUUUCUUUCCUUGUAUCCGCUACUUAAUAUUCUACUUAUUUAUUUAUUCCUAAGGUUACUAUGUUGGUCUGGUAGUAGUAGUAGUAGUAGUGGUGAUGGUGGUGGUGGUUGGGGUUGUUGCCGUCAAGUUUCGAGAUAAUGGUGGUGGUGGUGGUGGUGGUGAUUGUGAUGCACGAUUCUAUGUGGUGGUGAUUGUGGUGAGGUUGAACGGCUUCCCAAAUUACACUUGUUCUACUUGUUGUUUCCUGGUGGUGGUGGUGAUGGUGGUCCAGUUUACCGUGACCCUAUCCAGUCGUUCGCUCGUCUUUCCUCCUCCUCCUCCUCCUCCUC